GGGAGACAAAAGUAUGUGCAUCUCUUAGCUUGUUUAUACAUGCAUGGUAUAAACUAAAGAAACUAUAAUUUUCAUGUUAUAGCAGUUAUUUUUCCCAGUAAAAGUGCUCCUCAAUUGGCUUGAAACUUGAUGCAGUGGGUAUACGCUCAAUAAAUUACAAAUAUGUAUCGCAGUAUAGGCUCUUGUGAGUAGAUGUAGGGCUGUUCUAGUGGAAAUGUCUCUCUCUAUGGUAAAAUAAAU
rnacentral:misc_RNA from 1 species